CUGGGCUGAAUUCAUCUUAAGAAGACUAGAAAGCAAUGUUCUGUUCUCAGCAUCUUGCCACAAUCGUCCGGCAACAUAAAGCCAAGCGAGGCAAGAGAAGAAGGCCAUGACUAGAGAGGGUUUGGAGCUCUGCAGAGGCUUCGAUCUCCAUCGCCUCUCUGAUUUUGUGGUCGUUGUUAUGCUCUCCAUCGGAGCCUAGUACAGUAGGCGUAUAAGUAUCGUAUAUACACAUAUUCUAUGCAUAAGAGUACGUUAACUGAACGAUCUUACAGAGAAAUUCCGAGAGAAAUGGAGGCUG
rnacentral:misc_RNA from 1 species